UUUUUUUUUUUUUUUUUUUUGUUUAUUAAGAUGUGAAUAGAAGAAUUGAGUGUAGCACGUGCUGAAAUUAAAUGAACCGUCCCCGGGUAGCGUUGCUCGAGAUGGGUUUUUGUUUUUCAAUCUUUCAGUUGACCAGACCACCUCCGUGACUUGGGAGGAGACACAUUUGUAUUUUUAUAUUUAUUUGUUUUCUUUUUUUAAAUUGCCUUGUAUGCAUUCCCUCCUUGGUAGCCCCCGUUUUUGAGUGAGAUGAUGCAUGGCACGACCCUCUUUGCAUUUUGCAAGGUGGCGUCCACUUCUUAAUUGUUGUUUACUUAUUUUUAAUUAUUUAUUUAUUUUUUUCCUAAGUGAAACUUAGACAUAUAAACCAAAUUAUUUCUUUCCUUUUUAUUUUGUGUUAUUACUAUAAAUAAUACCUUAUCCCAUAUUAAAAGUAAUUUGGAUUAUUAGGAGUAUAACGUACCUUCUACUGCAACGCACAUUAAAAUAUUUGGGGAAUAGAAUACACUUAUUCUACAUUCCAUAAUUUAUUAUUAUUAUUUCAUAAAUAUUAAAUCAUGCAAAUUUUGUUAUGAGAAGUUGAGUAUUCCUCUAUUUUUUUCUUCCUCCUCAUAAGUUCUCCCUUUUCAUUGAAACAUGAAAAUAUAUAUAAAAAAAAAAACAAUAAUAUAACAAUUGAAACAAAAUGAAAAAAGAGUUGGUCUAAUUUGGUGAAACAUAUGGUAAUAUGUUAUCUUAAAACUGUUAUCACCUCCCUACAUGCAGUGUUAACAAAUGGUAGCCGCUCUAAAAUACAACCUCAACCAUUGGCUAAAACUAUGGGAACCUAUCCAUAAUUCUAUUGUCUAAAAACUAUGAAAAACUCAAAAGAAGAUAUCUUUAUAAUAUUAUUUUUUUCCAUAAAAAUGAAAGGUCUUUUUAAUAAUAAAAAUAUGAUCAUUGUUUGAGUAUUAGUAAUUACCUUAGAAUAGUCAACUCCAUGAAUCUCACAAAUAUCAAUAAAACUCAUCAAAUCCCACACAAGAUUGGAAAAAUAAAAGUCACUUAUUGUCUUUAACCUUUACAAUAAUAAAAGGUAUGAUACCAAGAUUUUAACCUCUUUUUUAUUUUAUUUUUUUGUAAAAGAAAGUUUUAACUUUUAUAUUUUUGAGUAAAAUCUUACAUUCCUCCACAAGGUUUAAAACUUCAAAAUAAUAAUGAAAAUAAGUAAAUAAAUUAAUGGACAACGUUAUACUAUACAAUAUCUAUAGGUAUUUUUUGGACUUGAACUUACACUUAGUAUUAACAAUUUCCAUUUGAGGAUCCAUAGUGAAUUAUGUCUUGAACUACGUCCUUAAGCCAAACUUUAGCAUGACACACACAUAGUAUUGAUAUGAAACUUGAUUCUAAGAGAGUUAGUGAAUGUUAUUAAUGGUCAUGCACUAGUAUCUUGAUUCUCAUGAGAGUUACUAAGGAAUAACCCUACUCCCAUAGUCAUGGUCAUAGGAUGACUCUCAUUUAAGUGAGUCCUCCAAGGGUACAUAUGACUUGUACCUCAUAGAAUUUUUUAUCUUGGACCCAUUUAGGGAAAUACUCUUCCAAACAUCACAUCAAAAGCACUAUCACCAUAGUGAUGUAAAUUAGACUCUCUCCUGAAAAAUAGUGCUAUAAAGUUACGUAUUACAAAUUAUUUCUAUCCAUUUAACCUUCUUCAUGAUAUCUCCGAUCACAAAUGUUAAGUUACCAUUGGAGGUGACUCCUUUAAGGCCUUCAACCCAUCCCCCUUGAUGAUUCUAAGAUAGCAUUUCUAGAAAGACCCUUGGUCAACUAAUUGACAAAAUUCUUUCAGAUCUAAAAUCCAAGGAUGUCGAAUAGUAAGUUUUUAAUGCAUUCUGCCUCAAUGUAUAUUAUAUCAAGCGCAAUUAACUUAGAUUUCAUUGCUUCUUGAUAUUAUAGUUUGUUUUAAAUCCCUAAGAAAUAACAACACCUCUUAGAAGGAUAUUAUAUCUAAUAGUGAAUUUGACAUCUAAAUUUUCAAUUAUCCAAUUUACAUCACUAUAUCCUUCCACUACAUUAAGGAAUCCUUCGUAACAUAAAGAGUAAUCUAAACUUUCUCUAAGAUACUUAAAAACUCUUUAAAGCAACCCAAUUUUCCUUGCUAGGAUUAUGAUUAUACCUACUUAGUCUCCCCGCUACAUAUGUUAUACCAUUGUUAGUCUAGUUAUUUGAAAUAUACAAUAAAGACCCUAUUAUUUGAGAAUCAUUAAUUGUUGUAUUGCUCUCCAACAUUUUUCUUCAAAUGCAUAUGGGAAUCAUAGGGUGUGGAUAUUGGUUUACUAUCAAAGUAAUUAAAUUUUCUUAAUAUUUUUUCAAUGGCACUUCAUUGAUCCAAAUUUGUACCCUCAACUGUUCUUAAAAGUCUCAUUCCUAAUAUUAUGUAUCUCUCCUAAAUCCUUCGUCUCAAAGUUCAUAGAUAAAUAAUCUUUCAUGUCAUUCACUAUUCUAUACUACUUCCAAAAAUUAGAAUAUCACCUACGUAAAAACAAAGUAUGUUACAUUCUUUUAGAUCCAUUUUAUAAUAAAUACAUUUAUCAUAAUCAUUAAUCUUAAACCUAAAAUCCAAUAUGACUUUAUCAAACUUUUUAUGUCACUAUUUUAAAGCUUGCUUAAGACCAAUAUAAUGACUUGACCGUUUUCAAGAAUAGGGUGACUUCACUAAUUUCUAUUUAAUUUCUCUCUUAAUGUUGUUUAUGAUUCCUCUAGUUUAUGGGUGGGCUAAAUUUAUAUAUUACCUAAUUUUUAUUUAUUCCACCUCAUCAAAAAUUCAUGUUGGUUAGCCUUUUAUUCAUUCAAAAUCAUCAAAGAUUAUAUAGGUUAUCCUUUCAUUCAUUCCAACUCAUUAAGGAUGCACAUAGUUGCACUCUUUAUUUUUCUUCUACCUCUCCAUACCAUUAUAUACAAUUAUAUGAUUAUAUUUUUAUUUUUGUAAAUAGUAGAAGAAAAAGCAAGGAUGUCUCUUCCAAUCUUGUGAAAUAAUAAAUGUUAUAAAGUUAAAUUUUGGAUGCAUAAAAAUAGAAAGUUAAUUAAGUAUUAUUAAGCAAUCUUACUUUUUACCUUAAUCCAUGACACAUAAUACGAAAUUGAUUGAUAAAUCAACUCAAAUUCAUAUUUCACAUCAUGGAUAAAGGUAAAACAUAAUACCAAUUAAUUAAUUUUUUAUUUUAUCAUUUUUCUAAUCCAAGUCUCUAAUUGGUUGCCUUGAUUAAUUAGAUCAUCUACCAAGCUUUUUAUAUACAUUUCCAAAGAAAUAAGUCUAUAAUCAAUAAACAUAAUCAUACACGACCAUAAUUAAUACAAAUGCUAACAGUAAUAGGUGAAGAGAGAUGUCCAUCACUUGGGGAGUGAAAAAAGGUAUGAUGUUUGAAAGGGCCGAGCAGGGUUAUCAAUUAGGGAUGACAAUAGGGCAGAUUCGGAAUGGGUCGCCCCCAUCCCAACCCCGUCUCGUUUAUUCAAAAUUAUUUUCAUCCUCAUCCCAUUUAAAAAAUUAAACAGGACGAGACGAGUAUGAUAAAUUCUCAUACCCGUCCCACUUUGCCCCGUUUAACUAUAUUUUUUGAAUUUUAAUUUUUUUUAAAUUACUUUUAAAAUUUUUAAUUAUAUUAAAAUAAUUAUAUUUUAUAAAUAAUUAAAUUAUUAUAUUUUUUAUAACUUAUUUUAUUAAAAAUAUUUUUUUAUUAUUUAUAUAUUAAAAAUAGUAAAAUAAAAAUUAAAUUAAAUUAAUUUUAAAAUUUAAAUUAAAUUAAUUUUAUAUAUAAUCGGGACGGGACUUGGUAAUAUCCGAACCCGGCUCCAGGUUUAAAAAAAAAUUAUCAAACCCGUUUAUUAAAAUUGAAUCUCGUCCCACUAAAAGCGAGACAAACAGUACCUGAAAGAACCGGUCCACUGCCAUCCCUGUUAUCAAUUAGAGGCUUACUCAUUUUUAAACCAUUGGCUGAAGAGUAAAGGUCUCCCCACACAUGCCUGUUAUUAUCAAAACUAGAGUCGAACAAACUGACUAGUCAAAACAGAAAAGAGAUGAUGAGAGAUGAUUUUUGGGGAAGGGUACUAUCAAGUCAAUUAUAGAUGCCAAUUAUCAAGACAAGCUCUGACACUAACUAGUGCACAUGGUGAAUUCUAUGCUAGGCUACCGUAUAAAUGAUCAUUAUUGCUUUGCAUGUGAAGUAGAUGUAACAUCUAGUGACAUCCUUCUGCAACAGGGAGAUCCUUUAACAAGCACUUAACAAGACAUCAAUUGAGCUUUAGAGGAUAGGAUGGGAAGAAUACUUUUUUUUUUUUUUUUUUAUUUUAUCUCAAGAGGCAUAUCAGAUGAUAUUGUCUUAUUUGUUUAUCCUCUUAUACCUUAAUCUCAUUUAUUUGUAUCAUUUAUUUAACGAUCGAGAUCUUAUAUAUCGUAUAUAUUUCAAGACCCAAAUCUUUUGUUCGAGAGGUACCACUUUGGUAUCUUAGCAUUUUCCUUGAAGGAUGGAUAGUUGGAAGGAGUCAAUUUCAAUGGAAGCUGUGAAAUAAUAUGCUUAGAAAAGAUGAGGUUGGGUAAAUUAGUAAUAGUUUCAGGCAAAGCAACAAUAAGAGACAUGGUGAAUGAAAGAGAAAAAGAAGAUACUUGUUGGAGCUUCACAGUCUGAUUCCAUAACAGCAAAAAAAAAAACAAAGAAAAUUUUGAAUUGUAUUAUGAUUCACUAAUUUGAUGUCACAGAUGUGUACAGGAUGCUAGAAAUUAAUUUACAGUAAUAAUCACUAGUCAACCUAAAAUCUAGACAGUCUUUUUUUUUUUUGGUUAUCCAUAUUCUUUUGGGAGAAAGCUCCAAAUAAUGAGUAUAAUCAGCACCUCAGAUGUGAAGUUCCAUGUUAAAUGGCGAAAAUAAAGCAGGCCUAAGAAGACUGACAGGCAAAGGAGGUUGUUCAUGUUUACUGCCCCAUAAAUCUGCACCAAACAAUUCAUAUAGUGUUAUUGGAUUAGAAUAACACAACAGCAACACAAAAUUCACUAAGAUAGAGAAAAGCAGCAACGAAGUAGUCUAACAUCAACUUCUAUACAUAUAAAUUUGUAGGAGAAGAAAACCUCUGAAACUGUUAAAGGAGCAAUCCUCAAUUUCUUUUGGCUGGCAAAGAUUAGAGCAGACACUGCUUCACUUGAGCUAGCAAAAGGCAGAACAAUGAAUGAGACAAAGAAAGGAGGAAUGUUUGUAGCAGAGUAGAAGUUGCCAACAGCAUUGACAAGAGGAUCGACAAAUGUAGCAGCGAUAAGAGUUCCCAACAGCAAUAUAAACACUCCUUUGAAGGCACUCCAUUUGGGAUUUUCAAUCUUCUCAGCCGUAUAAAACUGAAUCCCCAGAAGCUCAUUCCCUUUGCUUGUGGGCUGAAUAUGCAUUUUAAAGAUGUCAGAUUACUAGUAGUGAGGACUUGAUCAGGACUAAACCGAGAAUAACAUGAAACUGACUAACAUACCGUGUUGAAGUCAUCUAUAAUUAUUCUUGUCUGGAAAUCACUGUCACUUGAACAAACUGCUGAAUGCUUAGCCUUAUCAUACCAUUUUGAGAUUCCUAUGAUAAAUGCAUCCAAGUUAAUUUUGGAAUCCCCACAUGCAUCAAAAUCUGUCAAUACUUUCCCAACAGCCUCAUCAAUAUCUGAAUCUUCUUUAAUCUGGAUUCCUGUUAUCAGUGCUCUUAACUCACUAGCCGAAAGCUGCUGAUCUGAAUCCUCUCCAAUCAUCUCAAAUAACCUGUCAUUGUAUCCAAGAAAGAGUUGAUCCAUUGAGAAUCAAGGCUGAUCAGACAAGUUAGAAAGGAAUUUGCUGAGUAUGUGAGGAUUGGAAUUGCUUCAUGCAAUUGAUGUGUUCGAAUCUAAUUUAGAAAAGCCCUAUGACUAGGGUUAAAAGGGACAUAUUCAAAGAGGAAAGAAGUUGAAAUUAUAACAAAGACUAACUUUUUUAUCACUUCUCUAUCAGGUUCCCCAUUAGCUGUUAAGAGCCUCCCCAGGGUACAACAUUUCAAAUGUUUUACAAUUCUCGACAUCAUAUGCUUAUCCUUUGCAUGUGUAAGUCUUGUUUUCAAAACUGAAGGGUGAAAGACCUGCAACAACAUUUGACUGGAAAUUUGAGAAGAUGGCAUAAGAAAAGGUUUGGCUACCAAAAAAAAAAAAGUCAACAAGAAGCAGCCUCUGAAUUUGAGUGGACAAAUACCUGAUGAAGGCAAUAUGCAAGCAAUAAAGAAAUAGAGAUAAUGAGGGAAAUCAAAACUGCUAAGCAAAUUUGUGAAGUUGUGUGGAGAACUUGUGAUAGUUGGAUUAUUAUGAAUGGCAUAACAGAUAUAACCAUGAUCCUUGCUGUAUAGCUAGCCCUGAUAUCAGUACUAGCAGCUGAACCUGAAAAUAGCAAUAAAGGAACAUGCAUUAUGUGCUAGGACAAUAAUCAAGCUAAGCAGCAAUUAACUUGUUAGAGGUAGCCAGAACUAAUAAUAUGCUUUAGCACGUAUACUGAUAUGCACAGAACUAAAAAAAUUUUACCUACUGCAUAACAAACUUCACAUGAAGAAAUACUUAAUUUGGACAGCGAAGAUAAAGAACAAUUAAAUAGUAAUAGCAUUUCAUAAUUCGAAGAUUUGAAUUAAUCCCAGUUGAAAAGUUGCUCCACAAAAUAUUCUUUCACACAUGACACUAACAGAGUCCUAAGAAGUGAAGAGGGGAGGUAAGUACCGACUAAGCUGAAUCCUCUGGCAUUUUUCUCCACAGGUUUUGCCCUCAAAUUUUCAAGAUCACACUUGCCAACUAUGAUGCAGCACCCUCCUAGCAAUGUUAGAAGCAUGGCAGUUGAUCCACCCAGCAAAGCACUCCCAGCUGACACCUGGCUUGAAGCAGUAUCCUUGUUUCCACAUAGUCUGGAUGCUUCAGAAAUGUAAAAGAGCAUUCCGUAAGUGCAUAGAAUGAUUAGAUUACACAUAGGCAUUGGAUCUUCAAGAACACAUCACCUAAACAAUUUCAGUGGAACAAAAAUGAUGAAACUUGACAAUUGGGAGGCUACAGACUAACAAAGGCUCACAACUGGCAUGAAUAACUAUGAAUCAUCUGCACUAGCCCACCCAAUGGCUCAGUAAACUAGAGGGAAAAAAACCAGAUUUAUUUUUGAGUUGAACCCUUGAACUAAUUACAAUUCUUUCUCUCUGGUUGUACAUUUUCAAGUAAACGUAUACAUUUUGUUCCUUUCAUCUGCAUCGAAAUCACUUGAAUUUGCACAUCUCAGCCACUCAUCUUCUCCAUCCAAUCCUCAUUUUGGUCAUUCUUGGCAAUGAAAAUCCUCUGAACUUUUUUCGAGGUUUUCAUCGUUUCCCAUUAGCAUUAUCCUCAAAAAGUUUCAUUCAGGCAUUUCAUCAAGCAGUUUAAACAACUUUCAGUUUCUCUACUCUUUGCUCCUUUUAGUACUUCUCUGUUUUGCAAUCAAACCAUAUCCUUCUAAUUAAGUUGAUACUAUUGUUGAAGUUUUGAUCACUACCUUAUCUACCACAAACAAAAAUACCCUGUUCACCUCCCUUUCUUUCAGUUCAUGCAUUCAAACACAAAAUCUAUAUAAACAAUUAGCCUGCAAGUACAACAGAAUCAUUAUAACAUGCAUGUGAUGCUAAGUGCACAUACCUCCCAAGCUUCAUCUGGUUGAAUUGAACUAAAAAUCAAAUUUAGUUUCCUUAAAACAUCAGAACCACAAAAGCAAAUCCAUUGUCACAAGAGGUUUUCCAAGUUCUCUAGACCUACAAAAGUCUGCAUCUAACACAUGUAGAGUGAAUUUUGUAUGUUGACACUUACACAAGGUUUGUGUAUAUAUAUGUCAUCAGCAUAAUAAUUGACUGGGGAAAAAGAAAGGAAAGUUUUGUUGUAUUUUUCAUAUCAAGGCAAAAAUAUAUAUAUAUAUAUAUAUAUAUAAAUAAAUAGAAACUGUUAGGGUCCCACCUAUUGAUAAUAGUAAUAGUAAUAUAAGGGAUAUCCCCAUACUACAAGCCUCUUUGAUGCAUAUAAAAAAUAUGCUAUGGUUGUUUUUUUUUUUUUUUUUGAUAUUUUUGGAUACUUAUGCCACCAAUUGUCUUUGUGCCACUUGUAUGGUAGAUGUAUGGAAUGUUCUGUAUUUUUUCUUUUCUCCUUGACUACUUUGCAGCUUUAUGUCCAUGGUAUUGGGUCCAGAAAAAUGGCAACUAGUGAAACAAAUAGGAGAAGAAAGAUUAAAAACAUGGCCCCUUUUUUCAUGGUCUUGAAACUAAGAACUUGAAUCAGAGAAGGUGCCCAGAUUGAAUCGAUAAUAUUUUUGGAAUUGCAAAUUCAACAAAUGGGUUGAGAUAUGGAAUGGAUGCAUACAAGUAACUUCUACUUGAUUUGGCUGAAAAUUAAAGUGACCCAUAAUUCUAAAAACAUGAUAGAUUUCAAGAGAGAUCUCAGCUUACAUCAAGCUUACCAAGGAUGAUAAUAGCAUCAGGAAGAGAGCUGAGCAGAGGUAGAAAAACUCCACCAGUAAUCCCAGGACUUAGAAGUUCCACCAGAAUCUCACUUCCAUCAUACAAAAGCCUGGCUGCAAAGAACAUCAAGUAACCAUAAACCAGGAUAAGGAAUACAUUUCCAAACACAGUGGUGGUGCAUGGCAUGACCCCAUGUGUCUGUUUACAGCUAUAUGGUGAAGGCCGGUGCUCAAAAACAACAAAAGCUGGUUGCUGAACCUCUCCACCUCCAUUAGAGACCUGUCCAGAGGAAGAGUAUUUAGGUGCAAUAUAUCGACAAUUCCCAGGGUUCACUUGCAGGAGAAGAAGCAAUUGUAGAAGAAGUAAUGCAUGUUUCUUUCCCAUGUUUGAGCUUGGCUUUGUGACCAGAACCUGAAGGGUCCCAUAUAUAUUGUAACCAUUCUUGUCCUUAUUGUCUUUAAUGGUUUUAUCUUUGAUGCUGGUCGAAAGCUUGUGUCUGGUCGUUGCGCCUUGUAGGCCCACCAGGAACUGAUGAAAUAAUUGGUGCGUGUUGAAUGGGAACUUAGAAAAUGUGAUGGGAAUUAUUUGGCAUGAGAAAAUAUUGUUAAAUAACGUAAAUUACUUUUCCGAAUAAAUACAAAUACGUGGAUGUUGAAGCAAUAUUUAAAAAAUAAAAAAUAAAUAGUGGUUCUUACUUCGUUUUAUUGAAUCAUUUCAAUUGCUUUUCCAAAUAAGAGGUGGAUGCAAUGUUUUGAUAAAAUAAAUAAAUAAAUAAAUAAUGAUUUUUCGUUACCCACACCCAUUUGAAACUCUAAAAUUAAUGUCAAAAAAUUAUUAGUUAAUCCAACAAUCACAGGAUUGUUAAAGAUAAUUUAUGGGAUAAAGAUAAUGUUAAAUGAUACCGAAAAAGUCAAUUCUACAAUUAAUUGAUUAUCAACAUAUUAAGUAUUAUAUGAUGAGCUUGAUUUAGGGUGUUGCACUUUAUUAUUCAUAUUUAAAUCAAUGCCUAUUGAAAAGUAUGAUCAAUCACAACAUGUCAUAUAUAUAAUUUAAUCUCAUGAUUUUAUAUCUCAUUCAUAAGUCAUUAAUUUAUUUGUUUUUAACUUAAUAUGAUAUUUUCCUAUUUGUUUAUACUUGAUCUCAUAUAUUUGUACUUUCAUGAUUAAAAGAUCACUAAGUACUAAUAGCCAAGCAUUUUUCUUCUUAUAUUUACGCGAGUCUUGGUUCAUUUCCACAAUUUAUGAUCAAUCUUCGAUGAUGUAGAAUUCAGGUUAUUUUAACUUGUGAGUCUUUUUCACACAGGAUUUGAAAUAUUAAGAGUAGAACCAUGAUAAUGUAAAUUAGGUAGGAAGCAAUGUGGACUACAACCAAGCCAUAUAAUGUCCAAUACGUUUCUAAAAAUUUUUAUUUUAUGCCCUUACAAGUUUUGUUUUGUUUUAUUUUCAAAGUAACGUGAUGUGUAAGCUUCAAAGUGCUCACGCUCACCUAUCUUAUUCAUAUUAUUAUUAUUAUUGCAAAAUCUUUGAAGAAGUCACUUCUCUUCAUGUUGGAGAAUUGUAGAAGAAGCCAUUGACAACAAAAUCAUGAAUGUUCUUAAGCUACAAAUUAAACUUGACACCAUUGGCACUUUUCUAAUACAAUUUCGCGGCUCCCACACAAAAAUAGUCUUAGGGGAGUGGUCAAUUAUGUGGAUACAAUGAUGAACUCAAGGAAAAUUAUUGAGACAUAUAAGAUCAAAGGUGUAUCAAAUUAAAGCCUUAGUUAUGAUUAGUGAUGUAUAAUCAACUGCAAUAUAUAAUAUUAAUUUAAUUGGAGUCAUAGAACCGAUGGUUACGAUUUGAAAAAUAUUAUAAUUAAUAUAGAGAGACAUGAUGCCAUGGGUGGUCCAAUCCUAUCGGUUAUAUAAAAUAUGAUUUGAUGAAAAGACUAAGAUGAUAUAACAUAAGAAUCUCCUUAAAUAUUUUUCAAUUUUUUAGAUAAAAUUAUAAUUUAUUGAUAGGCUCAAUUUCAAUUGUAAAGUCAAAAACAAAUUACCCAUGAAAAAAAGUGUUUUAAUCAUGACCUUUAAUACUAAUUUGUUAAAAAAGUUGUUCAUCAUAACUUUUAAGACUAAUUUGUGCAUGUGCAUGGCAAUCAAUGCUUAAAAGAAAAGUUGUCUAACCUUUUAUAAGAUUCAUGUGAGUUUGACAAGUGAAGUUGAUGCUUUUUUUUUCUAAUAUCCAUGUAUCUUGAUUAAAAAAAGUUGCUAAAAGAUUAAUGGAGUUGGUUAAGAUAAAAACAAAAAAGAAUAAACAAUUAAAAAUUAACAUAUUUCUUAAUUUACCUUUACUACUUUGUAUUUGUGGAAAAUCUUAUUCAAUAAUUUUUUAAUUCUUAGGCAUCAGAAUGGAUAAUAUUGAAUAACUAAUUUUCCUAAAAGCUUAGAAUUGCCUCAUAUCCAUACAUGAGAAUUUGGAUUCAUAUUCAAUAAAGAAUUACAAAGAGUGAGAUGAAAACAAAUGUGAAAAAUAAACAUACAAAUUACAAAUAGAUGACUUAAACCACAACCUUUUGUCAAAUCAAGUUCUGAUACUACGUUAAAUAACCAAUUUUCCUAAAAGUUUAAUCUUAUAGGAUUUAAAUUCAAUAUGCAUAUUAUGCCUCCUUAUCAAAUAAUAUAUAUUUUUUAAAAAUUAGCGGUAUGUGAUAUGACGUACAUAAAUUUCAAUGGAAGUUAUUAAGAAAAUGCAAUGAAACAUCAAAUACAAACAGGUGUAGAGCUUCAUAUAUAGUCAUCAACUGAAAAAAGAACUGAAAAUAUGGGUGUACCCUUGAUGCUCUUUUUGCUGUCUUUGAACUGAAAAUGUGUCUAUGACCAUCCCAAAUAAUUGUCAAGAACAUACACCAACACCAAGGAUAAUGGGUAAAGCAGGAAGGCCAUCAAGCUUGUCCAAAGAGGGAAAGUUGUACGGGUACCAGCAAAGACUCCCAUCAGUAUGCAUACUAUCAGAAUAAUCAGCACCUCAGAUGCGAAGUCCCAUGUCAACUGGCGAAAGUAGAUGAGACCCAAGAAGACAGACAAGCUAAGGAUGUUGCCCAUUGUCACUGACCCAUAAAUCUGCAGAAAGAAACUCAAUGGUUAUGGAGUAGGCCAUUAUUACGCCUAAUUUUAAGGUUGAGAAGAGGAGAAGCAUACCUCAGAAAAUGUUAAAGAAGCAGUCCUCAACUUCUUUCUGCUGGCAAAGAUCAUGGCUGAUACUGCUUCACUGGAGCUAGCAAAAGGAAGAACAACAAAUGAGACAAAGAAAGAAGGGAUGCUUGUAGCAGUGGAGAAGUUGUCAACAGCAUCAACAAGGGGAUCGGCAAAUAUAGCAGCAACAACUGUGCCCAAAAGCAACAUGGCUACUGCUUUAGAGGCAUUCCACUUGGGAUUUUUAAUGCUCUCCACUUCCUCCUCUUCAUUCUGAUCCUCCAACUUAUCCUGCUCCUCUCUUGUUCGCUGCAUAUGCAUUUUAAGGAUGUCAUAGUACUAAGUUACAAACAUUCGGGACUGGAUAAAGAAAAACUUGACCCUUGACCAUGACAUACCAGAUUGAAGUCAUUUAUAUAUCUUGUUGACAGGGAAUUACUGCCAUCACUGCCAGCAUGAAUUGCUGAACGCUUAGCCUUAGUAAGCCAUCUUGACAUUCCUCUGACAAACUCAUUCAUAUCAAUUUGGGAAUCCCCCGUUGUAUCAAAAUCUUUCAUUACACUUUUCACAGUUUCAUCAAUAUCCAAAUCCGCUGCAUCAAACUGGAUCCCUAUUAUCAGGGCUCUUAUAUCAGUAACAGAGAGGUACCCAUUCGAAUUUACAUCAAUUGUCUCAAAUAACCUGCCAUCAUAUCCAUGAAUUAAAGGGUAUAUUGAGAGAAUCAAGGUUGAUUAAUUUUCAAGUUUCCAGUCAUGAUUUUGUCAAGUAUUUGUGCUUCCCUUCAGGCCUGAGUAGUUUGUUAAUAAGAUCUCAUUCAGUUAAUUUAUGUGCAGAUUCCCAUAGUGCCUAAUUCAGUGAAGUGACCAAGAGACAGAUUCAACUCAAAGUGCAACAAAGACUGACUUUUUUAUGGCUUCUGUAUUAGGUUCACCGUUAUUAGUGAAGAGCCUUCCCAGGAUAUGGGACUUCAAAUGUUUUAAAAUUCCCGACAUUAGAUGUUUAUGCUUUGCAUAUGCAAGUCUUCUCUUCUGAAUCCUAGGCUGAAAGACCUGCAAUGGUGUUGAUUGGAAAAACGCAAAGAAGCUCAGACAACAAAGGAUUUGGUUACUGAAAAAAUAGACAUCUUUCAACAAGAAGCAACAAGGGAAUGUAUAUAAAUCCAAGUAGAUGAACAUAUACCUGAUAAAGGCAAUAUGAAAGCAAUAAAGAAAGAGAGACAAUGAGUGAAAUCAAGACUGUUAAUCGAGCUUGCGAAGUUGUAUGGAGAACUUGUGAUAUUUGGACUAUAAUGAAUGGAAUAACAGAUAUAACCAUGAUCCGAGCCGCAUAGCUGGCCCAGAUAUCAGUACUAACGCCUGAACCUGAAAAGACCAGAAAACACACACACACACACACAUUAUGUACCAGGAUCAUUAUCAGAAAAUUUUGUAUUAACCCCUGUAAUUCUGAAGUCUUGUUUAAUUACUCUUUCAAUUGAAAAGUUCAUCCAGUAAAUAGUCCAUGACUGAUCAAUAAAUGACCAAAUGCAGAGGUUUAUAAAUAAAUGAAGUUGAGGGAAUUACCAGUUAAGCUGAAUCCUCUGGUGUCUUUCAAAUCAGUAGCCACUGAAUUUUCAAUGUCACACUUGCCAACUAUGAUGCAAGAUCCCCAUAGUAUUGUCAGAAGCAUAACAGUUGAUCCAGCUAGCAAGCCCAUACCAAUUGAGACCUGACUUUGAGCUGUUUCUUUGCUUCCAGAUAGCCCAGAUGCUUCAGAAACACAAAAGUUUCACAACAAAAAAGUCAAUAGAAGUAUGAUUAAUUAGACUACAUAAUGAUAGUCAUCAACUGUGUGCAAACACGUUGUUGAAUUUAUUGAAUAGUAUGAAGAAAGUCUAUGAAAAUUAACAAUUGGCAAUAACAAUUGUGAAUUAACCGAAAAACUUGGACUUGGGGUAGCAGCUAUUUUGGAUCUGUUUUUGUUUUAGUUCCAGUUAAGUUUGCCCUCAGAUGGAUCAUUGAGGCUUUCAUCAAUAUCCACACUAUUUCAUGCCAUUUGGCCAUUUGUAAACAACUGAUUUUUUCCUACUAAUACUAUUAGCUUUAUUUGGUUGCAUAGAAUUGGAAUCCAAUUCCCCUGAACCCCACAAUCCAAAAAUAAACAACUGAAUAAAAGAAAAUAGAAGGAAAACCCAUGGUAAAAACAAGGAUUUGAAUUCCAAAUUGUCCAAAUCUGCAGAACCAAGAACAACCCAAAUCUUCCAAAAAUCUAGGAGAUGUGUAGCCCUUAAUCCUAGCUGAUAUCAUUGUAGGCAACUUGAAUCAGUUUUGGAAAAAAAAAUUCAUCUAUCACAUGUGACCAGUCCAUUUUGUGCAUUAAGACUUACAGAGGGUAGAUAUUUAUAUAGUAAGAAAUCUAAUAUUCCCAUUGUAUGUAUUUGCUUACUAUAAUAAUUGCACCCAUCGGAAAUCUCGGAUCUGAUAAUGGAGUUAGUAAGGUUGAACUUUCUUUGUUGGCAAUAAUAAUAAAAGAGAUAAGCACAUGUCCAUGGAAUACUUUUCAUACAUAUGUUUUUCUUGACAACUUGGAACUUAUGUCAAUGGUAUUAGGUAUAGAAAAGUUGCAGAAAGAGAGCAAGUGGGAUUAAUAUAUAUUAAUCUUGGGCCCUCUUGCCAUGGUUCCAAAAAUCAGAACUCAAGUUAGACAAGGUACCCAAAUUGAAUUGAGAAAAAACAAUGUUUACAAUUCAACCUAUUGGUCAAGAACACAGACCAGAAUGAAGAGAAAAGCAAAUGAGAUCAGUUUUAUCAAUUUGGGUGGGAAAAGUGAAUGAUGGAUCAAAACGGUAUGAUGGAUUUCAAGCUUACCAAGGAUGAUAACAGCAUCAGGAAAAGCACUGAGCACAGGCAGGAAAAGCCCACCAAUAAUUCCAGGACCAAGAAUUCCCAGCAGAAUCUCACUUCCAUCAGACAAAAACUUGGCUGCAAUAAACAUCAAGUAACCAUACACAAGGAUUAGGAAGAUGUUUCCCAGCACAGUGGUCGUGCAUGGCAGGAAUCCAUAUGUCUGGUCACAGCUAUCUGAUGAAGCCCAAUUCUUAAAAACAAUAAAUGCUGAUUGCUGAACCUCUCCAACUCCAUCAGAGACCAGACCAUAGGCAGAGUUAUCUGCGACCCCCUGACCCUUUCCGCCAUUGAUCAGCAUCAUGAGAAAGAGAAAGGCUAGAAGAAAGAGAGCAUGCUUCUUUGCCAUGGCUGAGCUUGGCUUUGUGAUCAGAAGCUAAUAUGUUAGGUGUCUUCUGGUUCUUUUCCACAUUGCCUUAAAACAUGCCUCAUACUUGGAGAACUUGUAGGUGAGGAAGAACAGGUGGUAUUGGGAAAUUUAAAAUGGGAGGCUUGAGUCAAGUCAAUGGAAGAGGUUUUACAGAUAUGGGGAAAAAAAAAAUCAAUAGAGAAGAACAAAAAAUCCUAGGUAUGGUAUCACAUCAUGGGAUUUUUAUAAGAGUACAGCAGUUUCAAAAAAUAAUUUCUAAAUUAUCGUAGUAGAAAAAAUAAUUCCAAAUCUACCAUAGUUUUGUCCAAAUAGGAAAGAGAAAAUAACUUGUAAGUGAAAAAUCGUCUCCGAUUUUCAAAAAAUAAAAAAUAAAAAUAAAACAAAGUGAGAAAUUGUCUCUUAAAGAGACGAUUUCCACACAAAAGUGAAAAAUGGGAAAUCGUCUCUUCAAAAGACGAUUUCCAUGUGAGAAAUUCUCACUUCAAAAAAAAAAAAAAAUCUUCAAAAAUCCAUUUUUUCAUUCUUUAUUUUAUUUAUACAAUAAUACAAUUAUUGUAAAUAUAUAUUAUGAAAUUAAUUAAUUUUAUUUACUAAAUUUAAUAUAUAAAUAAUAUACUAAAUUUAAUAUAAGAUAAAUAAUUUAUUAUUUUUUUCUCUUACUUUGGAAUUAAAAAAAAAUUAUUAUCAAUUAUGUGAAAAAUGAGUUUUAAAAACAAUUGUUAUUAAUUUAUUAAAUAAUUAUUUAGUAUAUUAUUUAAAGAAACCCAAGUAGAAACCGUUUCUUCAAGAGACGAUUUUCACACCACCUUUAAAAGCGAGAAAUUCUCACUUUAAACAAAAAAAAAAAAAAAACCCUUCAAAAAUCCAUUUUUUCUUCUUACUAAAUAACAUACUAAAUUUACUAUGGUUUUUUUUUUUUUUGAAGUGAGAAAUUCUCACUUUAAAAGGUGGUGUGGAAUCGUCUCUUCAAGAGACGAUUCCCACUUGGGAUUUUUUUAAAUAAUAUACUAAAUAAUUAUUUAAUAAAUUAAUAACAAUUGUUUUUAAAAUUCAUUUUUCACAUAAAUUAAUAAUAGUUUUUUUUUUAAUUCCAAAGUAAGAGAAAAAAUAAUAGAUUAUUUAUCUUAUAUUAAAUUUAGUAAAUAAAAUUAUAAUAUAUAUUUAUAAUAAUUGUAUUAUUGUAUAAAUAGAAUAAAGAAUGAAAAAUGGAUUUUUGAAGGCUUUUUUUUUUUUUUUUUUGAAGUGAGAAUUUAUCACAUAUAUAUUCUUGAAGAGACAAUUUUUCACUUGCAAUUUAUUUUUUCUUUCCUAUUUGGACAAAACUACUGUAAAUUUGGAAUUAUUUUUCCUAUUACGAUAAUUUAGAAAUUAUUUUUUAAAACUACCGUACUCUUAUAAAAAAAUCCUCACAUCAUGGUGAAUGAGUUAAUUACAUACCAAUGUAUCAUACCAUAUCAAAUCUAUAGUACCAUUUGUCAUAUUGUUGUUUAGCCCAGAUUUCAUGUGCCUUUUUUGUUAUUCUUUUAUUUUUAUAAAAUUAUAUGUUCAUGAAAUAAUGACUAAGAAAUAGAGAGGGGGUGUUUUCAAAUUUAGGGCAUUGUUUAGCUGUACUGAAAUAAAUUUGAUACUAUCUAUUUAAAACUCAAAGUCAAUUAGUAACUAGUACAAUAUCAAUUAGGAGCGAUUUCAUGUAAUUCUAAGUUGUUAAUUAACAUAUGUGUGAUUUUAUUUUUUUUAGAAGCAUGACAUUGUUGAGCUUUAGUCGAGGUAAACUUGAUAUCAGAUUUUGAUUAAGAUUAAUCGUGUUUAUAUCACGUUAACCCCCUUUGUAGGGACCUCUCCCCCUGGGAAACACGUGGCACGCAGCUCAUGGUGACGCGUGGCACGUGUUAUCAGCCGAACCAUCAUCAUCCGGAUUCCCCUAAGGAUAUGCAUGGUGCAGUUAUCCUAUCCGGACCGCCUCAAGGAAAGGCAAACGACGUUUCAGCUUCUCCUAUCCAAGGAAGAGCAAACGACGCUGGCAGAGCGUAGACAUCCGGAUAGUCCCCACAACACAUCCGGAUAAUCAGCAUGAGCCAUCCGGAUAUAAAUCGUCUGGAUGGUCAAUUAAAGUAGCGUAGACAUCCGGAUAGUCCCCACAACACAUCCGGAUAAUCAGCAUGAGCCAUCCGGAUAUAAAUCGUCUGGGUGGUCAAUUAAAGUAAAGUGAGUCUUACACGCAAUCACAACAAGCAGCCAUGGCCCACAUCUUGUCACCUGCAGAGUGAAAAGACAAGAUGAAGUGAUAGCAAGUCACUUCCCACGAUCAUUCUACAUGAUCACCUUCCCACAAUCUCUGACAGCCGCAUCACCUACCAUAGUUUCUGACAGUCGUUCGUAGGGUGAUAAUGCUCCUACUAACACCUAUUGUCAUCAUCACAACAUAAAAUAUCUCCUCACCAUUAAUGAGAGGAACAGUACCCCUGAAGCUGUAUAUAUAUGCCUUCGCACGAAGAAAAAAGGGAUCCCCCUGGUAACCUCUUGAUACCUAGUAAAAGGCCAACUAAUUUAUACAUCUCUCUCUCACCAUGGCUAACAAAACCAUCGGAGGGUGCGUCCGGACACCUUGUCCGGAUGCCUUUUGCAGGUGCAACCGCUGAAUCAAGAACCCCUUGUGUGUUGAGAAUCACGUGUCCAUCCAUAUAGUAGCAACGUGGACCACCGGAUACGCGAGGCGACAACACCCUUAACCUAUUCUUGAUUGAAUCCUUUUAAUUCAGACACAACUCACGGAUUUAAUUCAUCGUGUCUGUUUUAACAUAAUUAUAACUCAACCAAUAAUAUAGUAGUACUAUGAUUCAACCCAUAUAUCACCCACUUAUUCUUAUAUAUGGUAAUAAAUUUUAAGAUUAGAAAUAAGGUUGUUAUUAAUAAGUUAUAUUAAUUUUAUUAUUUUUUAGAAACCAUUUAAAAAAAAUAAAUUAUUUUACAAUUUAUCCAAAUUUAGAGUUUGAAUGAGUUGCAUGAGUCAAAAUCAUAUUAAUUGUAUCAUACUUAUAUUUGGAUUAUUAGUUUUGUAUCAAGCUAAUAUAGUUUAAUUUAACUUUGUCAAAUAAUUUGUCCUAUCAUAUUACCUAUGUAAUAAAUAAUUCAUAUUUGUGUUAAAAAAAACUAAUAUUAUUAUUAACUGAAUUAAUUAAAAAAAACCUUUAAUAUGAUAUAAAAUUUGCAACAUGACUUAGAGUUUGUUUAAUAGUAUUUUAAAAAAAUAUUUUAACAUAAAAAAUAAACUAUUUUUGGAGAAAAAUCAUAUAGUUUUCAAAAAUUAAAAAUAUUUUUUAAAAAAUUAAAAAAAUCACUUGUAAUAUUUUAUAGAUGAUGCACCCAAAAGCACUUCUAAAUAAGGCAUUUUAACUAAAAACACCUCAGAUAUAAAUGUUUUCAAAGACACCCUUAAUUACCAUUCUUCGUAAUAAUGCCAAGUUUUGUAAGAAGGCAUGAAUUUAAAUAUUUCUUCUUAUUUAUUUAUUUUCCUAUUUAUUAAUGAAACUUACAUGUGAGCCAAAAAUAAAGGGCACAUGGGAUAGUGUUUUACUAUAUAACUCUGAUACAAAUAAUAAUAAUUGUGUCAAAAAUAUAAACUUAAAUACUACUUAAUUAUUAAACAUAUAACACAUCGUAUAUCUUAUUUAACCCAUUUAAUAAUCAAGUUAUUCUAUUUAAUAAUUAGGUUGGGUUAGGUCUUAUAAAUGUCUACAUGAUUAAUGCCUCAACUAAAUAUGUUUAUGAUUUAUUAGACUUAUUUAUUUAAAAAAAAUCAAAUAUAGGUGAAAUAAUUUAAAAAUAUAAUUAAGUUAAUAAUAAAAUUAUUAGACGGAUCAAUUCUCGUAAUAUGGAGGUUGAUCUAAAAAUUACUUAUUUAUUAAAGGAGUGAUGUAAAUUAAUUUGAAUUUGAUUUAAACUCAUUUAUAUUCAAUUUAAAUUCACGAAAAACAUUGAUGUUAAGCUUUGUGACCCCUAAUCAAUAGAUUAAGGAGGAAAAUUAAUACCAAUAAAUGACAUAACAAAAUAAAAAUAAUAGGAAGUUAGAUAUGGUAGAUGGUACAAUGAAAGUGGAAAUUGGAAACAAAAAUUGUAAAUUGACUAUCUUGACCCUCCUACAAAAAAAGUAGAGAUACUAGAAAUAGGAAGGCGAAUCGCUGGUAAGCUCUUGCUCACUUCCUUUGAUGGUGAAUUUCAGAGUGGGGAAACCAACGGUAAAACCAUCACGCCAAUCACCAUGUCCUCUCCUUCCGAUUCUCAGGGUCCGGAUGAGGCUCUCAUCACCCAAAACCCUAGCAUGCCCACUGAACAACAUCCACAAUCUCAAGCUCAAACUCUCUCCCUUAAAACCCUAACCCUAGAAAUCGCCGAUCCCCAAAACCCUGAACCAAGUGAACAGUCACACCCUCAACACCAGCAAAUCUCUAUCGAAGAUGAUCAAGAUGACCCAGAAGGUACGUCUCCUUCUUCUUCAUCAAUUUCCGUUUCACACAUCACCAUCACCAUCCCCGACUCAUCUGCCCCUCAAAAUCCUCCUCUCACCACGCCCACCAAUGCUCGCCGUUCACUCAAGCGCAAGAAGGGAGCUCAGUACAAGCGACGUACUGCUCUUGAAAAAUUUCAGCAGCAGAAACUUGGUGCACUUAUUAAAACCCUAAAUCCGAUCCCCUUUGUGCCUAAUAAAACCCUAGAUUUUUCCAAGCAUGAGUCGCUGCUUAAUCGUCUUGGGUUGUGGGAAUUUGUUCAUAUUGAGUUUGAUCAGACCAUUCGCACAGAUCUUCUUGCGCAGUUGAUUGCAAAUUAUACGCAGAGUGCGAGAGGCAGUGUUGUUAAUGGGGCUAAGAUUAAGGUCAAUAGGGCUGAUCUUGCUCGGGCGAUGAAGUUGCCGGUGAAGAAGGAGAAGGUCAGUGCAUCGUCGGAGGGUGUCUUGGAGGCUCCGGCGGCAGAGGAGGCGAUUGGAUUUAUUGAGGAUUUGGUCUCAAAUUGGGUGCUUUUACACGAGGAUACGUGGAUGAUGCCAACGGAGGUUUUGACUUGGACGCGGGUGAUUAAGGAGGGGCACCCGGAGAAGGUAGAUUGGGCGGGGUUGAUAUGGUUUAUGGUGGAGAAGGAGUUGCAUGCAGAAGAAUUGGUGAAUUGUUACUAUGCUUCACAUUUGCAGUGUUUGAUAAGAGCACAAAAGGAGGAGCUUUUGAGGGCAGAGGCUAAGGAUGAGGUUGAAGUGAAGGAGGAAGAGGAUGGUGGUGAUGUGGAGAUGGGUGAGGAGGGUGAUUUUCCAGAUCGUGAAGCAGAUGAUGAUGAUGUGAAGAUGGAUGAAGAUGUGAAGUUGGAUGAAGAGGUGAAGAUGGAUGAAAAUGUGAAAAUGGAUGAAGAUGUGAAGAUGGAUAAAGAUGUGAAGGUGGAUGAGUAUGUGAAGGUGGGUGAGGAUGUGAAGGUGGAUGAAGAUGUGAAGGUGGAUGAAGAUGUGAAGGUGGAUGAGGAUGUGAAGGUGGAUGAAGAUGUGAAGGUGGAUGAAGAUUUGAAGGUGGAUGAAGAUUUGAAGACUGUGGGCUUGGAUGAUAUUCAAGGACAUGAAUUGGAGGAACAUAAUAUUCAAUUACGUUUGGGUCAAGAUGGCGUUGGGAAGGAAAAGGUAAAGGAUGAGGACAAUAUGGAUUUUGAUGAGUGCAAGGAGCAAGAACCUGGGCAGUGGUUCUUGGACGGGAAGAAUGAUGAUAAUGAACCAUACUUGCGUCCUUGUACUCUUGAUGACCUUAAGGGUUCAGUUUGUGAUGAGGAAAGGAAACAAGAAGAAGAUGAAGAAGAAGAAGGAGAAGAGGAAGAAGAGCAGGAUCGUGGUUUUAAUCUUUCACCAAAAUGUGGCAAUUUAGCUGGUCUAUCCUCGGAGAACCUUAUUCACGCAAUGGAAGCAUCACAAGUUCCUUUUAAUUCAUCAGUGCAGCUUCGUGAUCAUUCUUCCAUGGAGCUUCUCUCAUCAAGGGCUGAAGCAAAUAUGAUUCCAGGGGGUCCAUCCAUUUUCAGUAACUCUAGCAAGAGAGAUAUCAGCCAUGAACAUGAUAUUUCUCAUCAAUCUCUAAAUAGUAGUCAUAAGAGGUUGAGGAGUGACUUUGACAUGUGUAUGGAGCAAAUAGAGCAUUGGAUGGGAAAGGCCAAGAUGCUUCAUCAGGCAAAAGAACAAGCUUAUGCUGAAUCAAGUAUGAAUCAGCAAUUCUUAAUUGGUGAGCUGCAACAGCGAGACAACCUGAUUGAACUUUUGCAGAAAGCCAAGUUUGAGGAGUUUCAGAAAAGAGAAGUGGAAACAUACCGGCGGGAUCGUGAACUUUUUGUGAUGGGAAAUCUCUUAGAGAGCUAUAGGAAGGCUUUAAGAGAAACACAGCGGGCAUUUUCUGAAUAUAGAGCACACUGUCCACUUCCUGAUGAGCCACUUUACAAUGAUGUUGGUGAGACAGGGGGUGUUGUUCUGAGCACCAUGGAAUUGGAAAAACAACGUCGGAGGCAGGAAGAAGAAUAUAGGAUGAACUGUUUGCUGGUGGAACAAAAGAUUAAGGACUUUGAGGUUGUGUGGUUCAACAAAUUAGAAUUGCAUCUGAAUGUGGUUCAUAUGCUUGAUAGCAGGUUGAUGGAUGCUGAGAAGCAUGUAAAACUUCUCAAGGAAUCAUAUGCUAAACGGAAGGUUUCAGAAACAUCAGAACCUGCUCCAAAAGAAUGAUAAAUCGUCUAAAAGGUUUUUCCGUUUGGAAGUUAUCAAAAUGUCAGUGAAGGACAAAUCAUAAUUGUAAGUCCUCUUUAGAUUUUGGUGUAGCUUUUUGUAUCCUUAUAUAAUACAUGUGAUGCUGCAUUCAAAAUAUUGCUGAACUACAGACCAAUACGUAACUGUACUACUAACUGGAAAUUUGCUUUAUGGUCUCUGCUGAUCUUUUGUCUUUUAUCAGUCAUAUUUUUUUUCCUGGGCCAUAUUAUCAUAUACAUUUGAAACUGAAACCCAAGUGUGCCUUGGCCUCCUCUGUAUGUCUGUGGAUUAUGGUCAAUUUGUGGAUUCUAUUCGGAGUCCAUUUGGUCAUUGAUUGAUUGGAAUAUUAUGGAGAGCAAAUAUCUUUCAACUCUAUAUUCAGUUCUCUAAAAGCUAAUCCAAGUGUAUAGUACAGAUUCAGAUGGUGCAGGAAAUGGAUAUGCCAACAUGGAAAAUUCUGGAGAAGUACAUGGACAUGAGAGGGCACUAUCCACAAUGUUUUAAUAUAUAUACAUUUGCAUAAGUUAGGCUUGAAUUUCUUUUCCUUUGUUUUGAUCAUGUUUGUAAUUAGGGAAGCAUUACUCAUCCUUCUCUUGUUUAUUCCUUUUUAAUGGAAAUGUUUUUAUCUUUGAUCCAACAAAUAAAAAAUGAAAAAUCUUUGCAAAAGUUUGGUUAAGUUUGUUAAAGUUUUUUUAUGAUUUUUCUUUGAAACUAUAUUUUUUUUAUAUGCAAAGAAAAGAUUAAUUCUAUUAAAAGCGCUUAGCCAAAGAGUACACAAAAGUAUGCACAAUGUAUACAAAGAUGCUUAAAAGCUAAACAAAGCAAAGAGAGACACAAAAAACAAUAUUUUCUCCAUACUUAGAGCUCAAUCAACCAAUGAAGUCCAGUAUGGACAUUGAGUAAUAACCUAUAUAAACUCCUAUGCACCCCAAGAAAUUAUACAUAAAGAUUGUUUGUUGCUUGAUCCCCAUUUUCAAUAUUUUCAAAAGCUGUCCAAUUUCUCUCAUUCCAUAUUGUCCAAAAUAAGCACAAAGAAGUUGAUGUCUAAGCUUUCUUCCUCCUUUUUUCUGAUAAAGGAUACAAGCAACCCAAAAGGACACUUCUAACUAAGGAUUGCAUCACCCGCUUUAUACCAAAAAGGGCAUAAAUGAGUUCCUGCAAAAUGACUGCCUUUGAAACUAUACUCCUUUUUCUUAAGUGGAAUGUUGUUUCAUUUGCUAGCAUUCAACAAGGCUUCUGUUGUCCAAACCUUUGAAGCUCCUAAAGUCCUAAUAGCAAGGAAAAUGAUAAAACAUUUAUUUGAAUGUUAUGUAGAUUUCAGACUUUUGAACCCCCUAAAGUCCCUAAUAGUGAGUUCUUGUGCCAUUUGCUAUUUGGCUCUAGGUUCAUGCUGAGCAUUUUCUAACUUUUAAUAAUUGUUUUCCUUUCUUAUUCUGUAUUGAUGUUUUUCAUUUCAUCCAAUUCAGCCACAAUAGUAAAAAACUUAAAAUACAUUAUAGAAUCAUAUGAUCUCCUUGUGGACUUAAGGUGUGCCCCCUUUUUCUAGACACCUUCAAUUUGAAUUGUGGUGUGGCUAUCCAAAAAAAAAAAAUUAUAUAUACAUAGAUAAAUAGAUAGAUAGAUAGGUAUCAAACAAAGACAUUGAUCCUUUACUUAUGUACAUGCUAACCCAAGCUGAAAAAUUACAAAGGAAUGUAAGUUUUAUUUUUUGAUCAGUUUGCCCCUUAUUUUCAAAAGCUUUUUAAUUUCAUCCCUGCCAAAUUGUCCAAAAUAUGCAAAGGGGGGUGGUUUUCCACACAUUUUUCCUUUCCUUCCCUACAAAGAAACCAUGCCAACUAAACAAGAUAUCUUUCACCAAAGAAGGGAUCGUCCAAACUACAUCGAAUAAGGAGAACAAGAGAUGUCAUAGAAUCCUUGCUUUAGUGCAAUGAAGUAGAAUAUGGUCAAUAGACUCCCCCUCAAGUUUGCAAAGAAAUCAUCUAUUUGCUAUCAGUCGCCGUCUUUUGGAGAUUAUCUAAAGCCAACUUUUCCCCCAAUUGGCUUCCCCCCCAAAAAAAAGCUUACUUUGGAUGGGACCCAUGAAUUCCAGAUAAUGUUUGUUGGAAAGUGGAUUACCUUCCUCAUUUCCUAGACUGAAUAGAAAGGUUUGAUUGAAAUAGACCCUUUUUAGCAUCCUUCUAGAUCACCUUGUUAUUAUCUUCCCUUCUAAACGUCUUCAUUAGCAAGUGGCAGUGUGGAGAAAAAGGUCUCAACAAUGUCCAACUUGUAAUCAUUAAAGUGCUUGGUGAAACACAUAAUCCAAUGACCCCCCGCUCCUAAGUCUUCACAUAAAUUUGUUGCCCAGGCCUCCUUUGACAAACCUAACAUGGGCGCACGCACAUAUGCAUAGAUAUAGCGUACACACUCACUCACACACACACAUUAUAGAGAGCCCUUUCAUUUUGAAUUAAAGAAUUAAGAAUGAAUCAAAUCUCCCCAAGUAGGUUUGGAACCUACGACCAAUCUGUUAAUAGUUGACUACUCUGCCACUGAGCUACUGAGGAACAAAGAAAAGAUUAUAGGAAGUACUAGUUUUAGAAUCUAAUUGAACCAAAAGGGUGUGGCGUUUGGGUGUUUGCUCUUUCGAAGGAAAGAGAUUGCAACUGAGGUGGCCUUGAAGUUGGUUGUUUCUGAGAAAGGGCUUGUACAAAAGAUUUUGGGUGAGACUGGUUGGACUGUCAUUGCCCUUGUGGGGUAAGGACUUCUUCAAGAGAGUGGGUGAUACUUGUGGAGCUUUUGCAGCUAUGGAUGUGGAUAGCCAAGAGAUGCCAUUUACAAUGGACUAGAAUUCUAGUAAGCUCCAACAGGAGGGUCCCUAGUCCCUAUGAUCUUGCAUGUGGUGGUAGGGUUUUUAGUCUUCGUUGUUCAGUUAUGGUGGGAGAUCCCACCAUGGGAGUUGGUGUUUGUUUCGAAGGAGGGUUGUAGGGUAAUGGAGGUCAAGGAUGACAACGAGGGCAUAGUUUUAAAAGGUGUGCUUUAAGUGCACCUAGGCUCAAGGCACGACCACUCCCUAGUUAUAAUGCCUCUCUUGCCAAGACAUGUGCCUUAUUGAAGAGGCAUGCCUUAUCAACUUUGCUAUUCCUUUUUAAAUGCUAGUCUAGAAAUUUCUAGUUGUGUAUUGAAACUUAUAUAAUUUCAUUUUUUAUUUAUUAAAUGCUUCUUUUAAAUGUUUGGAAUCUUAAAUUUUUUAUUGAUUAGAUUAGAUUUGAAUCAUAUUUUAUAAGAUUGAUAUGCAUCCCAGGUCGCAUUUCACUUCACUUAGACACACACCUUGUGUUGCACCUUGUUCCUAAGCCAUAAGAGACUUUUGCGCCUUAGGUGCACCUUGCGCCUUUUAAAACUAUGGGUGAGGGAAGGGCACACACAGAGUGAAGUGGAGUUAGAGGUUGGGAAGCGUGCAAAAAGUUUGGGGCAGUCUAAGGUGCUUUUGCGUGCAACCCAAGUUGCUUUUACAUGUUGCCCAAGUUUCAGAUGGCGCAAUUUUUUCUAUCUACACUAGAGCUUUGGAGGCUAGUGGAUAGGUUCGGAGGAUAGUCUCUAAGCCUCCUUGUUUGGCUUGAGUUGGGCUGGUAGGCCAAGCAGGUUCAAGGCCUCUUUCUCCUAUAGCUUGAGUUGGAAGGCCUUGAGUGCUUUAGGCCUUGCUCUUUGUCUAUUGACCUAGACCAACCUGUGUACUUAUGUUGUGCUUCCUUUUGUUGAGUACUUGUUAAGCUCCUGUUAGAUUCAAUUAUUGUUUGCCUAUAAAAUGCAGCACAGAAUAUAGAGGAGAACAUGCAUAUUUUGACCCUUUUUUUGUGUAUUUUGAGAAAAUUAAUUUUAUAUUUCAUUUUUAUUUGAAGGAUUCUUUUACUACAAUGUGGGGAGAUGUUAUUACAUGGUUAAAAAAAGUGUUUAAAUUUUGUUUCUUUCUUCUGCCUCCCCUGAUAAAAAUCUUCCAUGGCAUGAUAUUUAUUUGUGAUCUCUGCAUUGAGGAAAGUUUGACCAUCACAUCUUUUCUUCCUUAUAUUUGUCAGUUCAUGGAGAAUUCUCUGUUGAAAAGUUGGAAAUUGGGAACAAGUUGUAGCAACACAUUGAGCAUGAUGUAACACACAAUGACAACUAUAACCUGAUGUCCUCAUAUUUGCUAUACCUUUGGGUGCAUUGUUUCUUACCAUCCAAUAUGCUGUAGUAGAAAGUGUUGACUGGCUAGCAUUUUGUUUCUUACUAUCCCGUAUGUUCAUGUUUGAACAAAAGUUAUUUGUUGGAGCCUGGUGUUGGUUUUACUAAUUUAUAUGUUAAUUUUAUGAAAAUUGAACAAUAAUAUAACUUCCAUUAAUAACCUCAUGUGAGUGUUAUUAUUACCUUCCAUUUCUUGCUUGGACUGGUGAAUUAUGAAAUAAGUGAUAAAAACCAAAAUAGUUUUUGUUUGUUGUGUUUUGUUUAAUCUACUGGAACAAUUUCCAGUUAUCUACAUAGUGGGGCCAAACUAGCUGUGGCUGAGUGUUUUUUGCAGGCUAAUAAUGGGUGAGACCCAGGAUAGACUCUGAGAGCACAAGCCCUUGAGGUAGAUUAGUGUGGUGGUCAAUAAAAGCUGUUAUGCAAUGUUGCUCUUAUGUUUAAACAAAACAAAUUCCAACCCCAUUUUCCCCUCCACCUCUCCCUCCCCUUGCAAAACUCAAUUAGGGAUCUCAGACUCUGUUCCUGUCACCAGUUCAAUCUGGGGUUUUAGCUUAUGCUGGAAUCUACUCAACAUUCAUUAUACUUGGAUUAUAUUUAUGCUAUAUAUAACCUUUAUUGUGGCCUGACCUGCUCUGUAAUUUAGUACUUGUGGGGCAAGAAAGGACUUUGAAUUUCUUUGAAUUUUUAUGAUGUUGGACAACCUAACUCUUCAUAGUUAUCUUAUGAGCAUGUGCCACUGGAGGAAAUUGGUAUUUGUUUAAGGACCUAGACAAUUUUGCAUAUGUCGAGCUACUCUUUGUUUAUAAGAUUUACCAUGAUGUAGCAUGUCAUCUGGGUCUUUGGAGAGUGUUUGAUCACUAUAUUAUGCCAUCAUGUGCCAGUGAUUUCAUUUUAGAAUAUUGUUCCCUCAAAGAGUUUUUCCUUCCAUCAUGCAGGUUAGCAUUAGUAUUUUAUGAAUCAGCCAUUCACCCCUUCUGUGCUGCCAAGCUUUCAAGUUAAUGGCCUUUUCGGCCUGCUGACCUCGCAGGGUUUUGGAGUGGUUGAUGAUAAUCAUGUCACAGCAAUUUGUGUUCCGAAUGGAAGAUGGAUGAGCAUACUUGCCACUCAGUUGAUCAUUGCUACUAGCAGAUUAAAUAUGUUGUAUAGACCUUGAAGUAGAAUUCUGUCUAGGAUGACCGACUUUAAUCUUAAAAAGGUUAUUUCUUAUAUAUUUUGUAUGUGCUUCUUCACCCUGCAGCAAUAUUUGUCUCCUUUUUUCCUCCAUUUCUAUCCUUAAAACGCAAGAAACAAGUUGUUUAAUGGUGGAGGUCCAAUAAAAAAAUAAAAAAAUAAAAUCAAUUUUAAUAUUAAAACAUCUGGCAUGAGCAAGAAAGAAAGAAUCAUACAUAAACUGAUAAAGAAUUUCAAAACUCAUCCCCUAGAUGUUCUUGGGAUCCAUAACAAAUACAGUUGGCUGUCAAAAUUCUUACUUUCUUUUUCCCACACCUCGGCAAUCAAAUGAGGAUGAACUUUCCUGGAAAUUGACCCUUAGAAUAGAUCUAGAAAGCACAGGGAGCAAAAAAAAAGCAAUUUUUUUGGUUUUUCUUGGGGGUUUUGCAUGGAUUUUCUCGGAAACCAAACAAGGAUGAAUUUUCCUGGAAAUUGAAUGGGGGCGGUGGCGAGAACAGAUCCAGAAAGCGUAUGGAACAAAAAAAAAGCAUUUUUUUUUGUUUUCCUUGGGGGUUUUGCAUGGAUUUUCUCAGAAACCAAACGAGGAUGAAUUUUCCUAGAAAUCAAAUGGGGGCGGUGGCGCGGUGGCGAGAACAGAUCCAGAAAGCGCAGGGAGCAAAGAAAAAGCAAUUUUUUUUUGUUUUCCUUAGGGGUUUUGCAUGGAUUUUCUCGAAAACCAAACGAGGAUUAAUUUUCUCACAAAUCGAAUGGGGGAUGGAGACCCCUAGAACAAAUCCAGAAAGCACAGGGAGUAAAAAAAAAAAAAAGCAUUUUUUUUUUUUUUGUUUUCCUAGGGGGUUUUGCAUGAAUUUUCUCAGAAAUCAAAUGAGGAUGAAUUUUCCCGGAAAUCGAAUGGGAGAUGGAUUUUCUUGGGGAUCAAACGGGGAUUUUUUUUUGCUUUCAUUGCCGCCGCCCACAUUCGAUUAUUGGGAAAAUUCAUCCUCUGUUGAUUGCCGACAAAAUCCAUGCAAAACCCCCAAAGAAAACCAAAAAAAAUUGUUUUUUUUGCUUGCUGACAGGAAAACCUAAAGGAUAAUUUUGGAAAUAAAAAUUUGAACAGUAAAUAGUACAUGAAACCUAUAAUAUUUUUUUUAUUACUCUCAUAUUUAUAUGGAUUUCCAAAAUCAGAGCAUAUAAACACAACUUUCCCAAAAUAAAGCACGAGGUAGCAGAAAUAAAUUGUUCUGGGCUUUAUUUCCUGUUGGCCCAUUUAGGAAAGGAGGAACGCAUAAAAAAUGUGAUUGUCGGGUUGAGGGUAGCUGGGUAGGCGUUGUUGGGCCUUCGGAGUCCCGGCCCGUUAUCCUUCCACCGAAGAGAGCGGGAAGUGAACGCUGCUCUGUGAAACCAGCCUCACGCGGUGCCCUCCAUCUCUAAGAACCCUAAGACCCAGACUUUCGCCCGGAUCGCGGGGCUCAACUCCCCACUUGGAAUGGGCGAACCAGGCCAAUUACCCCAUCAGGCCUUACCAACCCAGCCAGACCAAUCUCCAACCACACUGAUGCCCUCGCUUGAGUCACAAACUCUCGCUACUGAGUUCGGCAGAUGGAUGUCUACACCACAGAUAUUUUAAAGACUUCUUUUCUUGUAUUUCUUUUCGAUGUGGGACGACCUAGAGAAUUCCUGACUCAUUCUUCACCACACAUAUAGGGAAAGCCAAAAAGGGAUAUGAUAUGCUGCCUUUCUUGAACUUUGCUUACAAGAUCGAAAGUAAUUUUCCUUCGACAUGUGUGGCCUGUAUCAAAGAAUAGGAAAAUUAACGCAUAAUUAACGCAUCCUCCAUCCCCUCGAUGCAAAGGUGUUUUGGUAGUCAAAACCUACUUCUCCAAUACUGGGAAAAUAUGUUUGGCUUCAUUAUUCUCAUAAUUCACUUGGGGAAAACCAGGGAUCCAUUUUUACCUUCCAGGCCUAUGAAUGCUUUGUGCUUCUUUCAAUGGGGACAAGAACAACCAUUAGGAAUUUAUCACACAACAAUGCUCCUAAGUCCUAUGGUGGCCUCUAUCAGUGGGCAACAGUUGCUAGAUUUUGAGGGCUUAACCAGUAGCUUCAAUUUUAAGGAGGAGACAUUUUGCUCCACAACUCAUUUACUGGUCCUUAUUGUGGUUGGGAAGAUUUACAGAGAUCUGAGGUCUUGGUCAGAAGAAUUGGGCUUCUUCUUUGUGAAGGGAGUAACUCUAACAAAUCCUCGACUACAUUUAGAAUUUGUGAAUAUCUGAGAUAUAAUCAUCUGGGAUGAUCCAAUUGCUUGUGGAAUUACCCCUUUAGUAGGGCUGUUUGUGGAAUUAGUCAUUUCAUCAAGUUAUACAGUCUGUCUCACCAGCUUACUCAACCAGGAAUGCCUUCAUCCACAGACAAAGUUGAAACGCUGAAGAGCGCGGAGAACACGAGUUGGGUCAUUUUUUAUGUUUUCACCCAAAAAACAUCCAGAGAGUGUAUUGAGGGGAUGACUAUCCUCGAGCCAGUCAAGCUCUCAUGAGCAGGGAGAUACUGGUGGACUUUCUUGAAGUUCCAUGUGUUAAAAAUGUUCCUUGCCAAAUAUUGCAAUGAUUUUGGUACUUCGAACAGUCAUUCAAAUUUGGAGGUUUCGGAUGUGAAGCAAAUUCAGGCUCUUCCAUUCAUCUCUGUAUGGUUUUUCCAAGGGUGCUCUGGGGCUUCAUUUCUAAAAACAUCUGAGUGAAAAUUUGUGAGAGCUAGAGAAUCCAGUGGUCUCCUCUGCCUGCAUGAAGAUAUAUAGUUUGAGGAUGGAUGACUUCAGGGGGGUUCUCUUUUGUGAUCAUCCAUUUUUUUCUCUAAAUAUUCCACCAUGUUUACUAAACCUGAGCUGUUUUGAGGUCCAGUCCACCAUUUUUGUCACCACAACAAUUCUUCUCGGGGCUCAUUUAAUUCAUCAUACAUAACUGCUAUAAGAGAGACUAACUCAUACAAACAAAGGUAGUUGGGAGUCUCCUGAUCACAACCCUUCAACAAUGAAGGUUAGACAACCGACUGUUUUCUCUAUUAUACCAAAAUACUAAACCUUUUUAUAUAACAACUUUUGUUAAGAAAAAUAAGAAUAAGUUUCACUACAACUUUUAUAGUACUUUGGGUUAGUCUGGACACAUGAAAAUUAUCAAAACUAAGCCAAAGUGGAUUACUUGUUACCUAUAUUCUAAAAUGAAAUUAUCAAAUACUCGAAAGGUUUUUUACUUUAUCAAUUCAAGACUUGGGGUUUCACAAUUCAACUCUAGGAAUAGAACCCUAGAGUGAACAACAGUUUUUCCUUUAUGAUGAUCUUAAGGUUUUAAUGUAUAAUGAUGGAUUGAAAUCAAUCUAAGUUCUAUAACUUAGAGUUGCAUUCCAACCCUAAUUUAUGGUUCAAUCCCGAUACCUAAUUAUCAUCAAAUAAAUGAAACUUUACUACUCUUGUAGAUUUAUUGUACAAUAAGUGAUGGGAGAAAUAACAUAAAUAACUAUGGAUCAAGAAUUUCUAGUUUCCAUAUUGAUAUACUGUAUCAUCUCCUAAUUCAAAUUAUCUUGAAGAGUUUCUUGUUUUCAACAUUUUUACCUUAAAUUUUUAAUAAUGUCAUUACUAAUUCCUUUUUCCUAUUGUUUCUCUUUUAGAUUUCUAACCUUAGAUUUUCAUAUUUCACAUCCCAAUAUGGCAUUUACCCUCUCAUAGUGGUAUUGUCACUCACACAAUUUAUAGAAAAAGUUAAAACAUUAUUCUUGAAUUGAAGCAAACCUCAAGAAUCUUCAAUGCUCUCUCCAAAACAGUAAAGAAUGAACUAAAAUCCCUACUAACCCUAAAAUGUAAAAAGACAAACUAGUCACACGGCAUACCCAUAUAUAUUGGCCAAAAUAUUAAAAAAAAAAAAAAAAAAAAAAAAGUCCAUGAAUUUUCUAAAAAUAACAUUAUAUCUUUGAAUAUUGAAUCAUUCAAAUUCUUCUUGGGUAUAUAGUAGAUGCUUGGGAGGUCUAAAGAUUGAAAAGUUUGUAGGAUUUGAAGGACAUAUUUCAGAGCUGGGGGAGCCAAGUUCGGUUUCAAAACGUGGAGUUCAAAAUAUUAGAACUAAAAAUUUGGAGGAGUUUGAUGGAUUCCAUAUUGAUAUCAUUUAAUUCCUAUUGGCGGCCCAUUUGAAAAAGAGCAGAAAAAAUGUGGUUGUCGGGUUGAGAGAGGCUGGGUAGGCGUUGUUGGGCUUGAAGGGUCCCGGCCCGUUGUCCAUCCACCGAAGAGAGCGGGAGGUGAACGCUGCUCUGUGAAACCAGCCUCACGCGGUGCCCUCCAGCUUUAGGAACCCAAACACCCAGGCCUUAGCCCGAAUAUCGGGGCACAACUCCCUACUUGGAACGGGCAAGCCAGUUAAAUCACCCCACCAAGCCCUACCAACCCAGCCAGGCCAAUCUCCAACCACACUAACGCCCUCGCUUGAGUUACAAGCUCGCGCUGCUGAGCUCGGCGAUUUGUUGUUUACACCACAGGUAUUUUAAAGAAUUGUUUUCUUAUGUUUAUUUCCGAUGUGGGACGGCUUAGAGAAUUGCUGACUCAUUCACUCAAUCCUCGCCACAAUAGGGAAGCCAAAAGAGGGUAAGAUAUGCUACCUUUCUUUAACUUUGCUUACAAGAUUGAAAGCAAUUAUCUUCCCACAUGUGUGGUCUAUAUUAGGAAUUAUGGGGAAGAGUCUGUGUGGAUUGGCGUCAUUCCUCUUGAUUAAAGCAUUCUCCAUCCCCUCGAUGCAAGGUGUUUUGGUAAUCAAAACAUACUUCUCCAAUACUGG
rnacentral:lncRNA from 1 species